GGUGCACACGUGCCAGGGCGUGCCCAUCCGCGAGUUCUCCUUCUUCCCGCACGAGGACGAGGUGCUGAUCCCGCCCUUCGAGACCUUCGAGGUCACCGGUGUCACCAACGUCACCGCGGGCGGGGGCGGGGCGCGGAUCGAGCUGCGCUCCACCGGCACCUUCAGCAACUACAACUGCCAGUGGCUGCGAGAGCAGCGCUGUGGAGACGGGCCCUGUGUGUUCGACACGGGCAGGAGCACCCCCCACCUCGGAGGGCUCCUCCUGGCCACUACAGCCCUGGCAGUGGCCACCGGGAUCCUCUGAGCCACCAUGGCCACCGAGAUCACCACCGGUCAUUGUGGUCACCGUGGUCACCAAGGCUGCUGGCACCUCCCCCAGCCACGAGGCCACCGAGGCCACUGAGGCCUCCAAAGUCACCAUGGCCACUAUGGCUAUUGUGACCACCAAGCCAGGACGAGUUAGGGGACAACACUGGAGCCACCAGGUGCCACCAGGACAUUGGGACAAGAGAGGGGACAGGGGGACUCUGAAUGUACCAUCGCUUUGGUUCUUCACUUUUUGGUUUGUUUUUUUUUUCCCAAAAUUUUAAUUUUUCU